CCGUUACCGGUCCCUCCACCGCGCGGGCUGGGGAGCAGGGGAGAUGCUGCUCGGUGCUGAUCGCUCGCAGCGAGGGACGGGCGGGAUCUCCAGCUGGGAUAAACACGGCCACUGUUUUCCCUUGGCCCCUUAUUCCAAGUUUACAGAUCUGCUUUUGGUCUCUGAGUGAGCGAUUGCCACCCGUUUCCUCACCCCGUGUCCCGGCUGGCGGUAGGAGUACCACUUGAAUUCCCCAAACAAAAUGGAAGUGGAAAGUCUUGGGCUUAGUUGAAAAGAACAGCGAAUUCUGCUUGCAAUCUGUAAUGCAAUUAGCAUUAUUUGACUUGGCAGCCUUCGGAGGGCCUGCGUGGGCUGCAGGCUGUGAGGGCCUGGAGUCAGCCUCUGUCUAGGAAGCAGGGCUUGAGAGGAACUCUUCACAUCUGAGCUCUCUCGGUGGUUUUCCUCCCCCAUCUCCAUUUCCCUCCACCCUCGGCGUUCGGAUGCCACAGCCGUUCGGAUGCCACAACCGGUCCUUCUUCCCAGCUGGGAAGGGGUGGAGUGGGUUCCUUUUUCAGCCCCUGCCCUGCUCCACGGCCCCUCUCCCGCCCUGUGGGUGUCUGCAUCCCCCCUCCUGGCCAAAGGGAAAUAGUUCUGGGUCAGAACUCACUGAGCCAUCUGUGUUUUCAAGGCUAAAUUAUCCCUUGCGAGGGAAAUAGCAUUAGGCCGGCAUAUCUGGCUGCUAAUUGCUUUAACUGGCUGAAAAGAUUUCAGUCUGUUCUUGAGCUGUUUGUGCAAACCGAACAGAAAAGUGUAACCUUCAGAUCCUGCCCCGUCCGCAGCCAGAACGUGUAAACAAGUCUUUGGGUAAGAAAAGCAGCACAGAGUUUCAGGCUAUGCUGUGAGAGACAGGAAGUUAUGGGCAAAUUGAUUUCACUACUGGGAAAGCAGGGAUCUUUUUUUUCCCCUCCCCAAGUAAUGAUUGUAAAGCAUGCUAAUGCAAUUCAACAUUAGUGCAUGAAAGUGUGGCCUUAUUAAUUCAAGACAUAAAGGCAUCAAAAUAAGCUGUUAAAUUUAAAAUAUAAUACAUAUAUAAUGAGAAAAAAUGUGCGAAAGCUUUAUUCAAAUGAAAAUUCAGAAUUGUUUGAGCUAGUGAAGUAUUUUUUGUGCUGAGUUAUGAGCAUAUGUAAUAGAUUUAAUUAUUAAUUUCUCCAUUGUUCUAUGCACACAGACAGGGUUCAAGGCACAGUCAUUCUCUGGCUUUCAUGGAUCUAAUUUGUAUAAUUAUUGCCUGAAUAAAGAAUUGCUCCGAUUCCUAGCUCACUUUUUUCCUCUCCUAAGGACUACCUCACUGUUGCGUUCCAAAAGGAGAGCACCUGCUAGUUCUUCAGGAAUCAGCUGAUCACUUCCUGUGAUGAGGCACACUCCUGGUGACGUUCCUUUUCAAGCCUUUUUGUCUAAAUGAAUUAUUGUGCAUCCUUUUUAAUUUUAUUGAGCAAAUUACGUUUGUCAAGGUCUGCCUUUGUAAACAAAUGGCUAGAGACACAUGGAUGCAUAUUGCUGCUGUUCAAGUUCUCCUGUUCUAUUUAUGGAAGCCAGAUGAAUGUGAAACAAAAGAGAAAGUUUUCUCUAAAAGCAAUUAUCUUUCUGCAUUCCCAUCAGUCUAAUUAUAUUGCAGGGAAUUUUAAGGACUCAUACGGAUAGAAUUGAAAGCUUAAAAUCAUGGCUGAAUCCAUAUGCAAAAGCUGAGCAGAGCAUCUUACCUCAUGCUAACAAAACACACCGUGCUUCUGUUACACCUUUACACCUGAAAUGCAUGUAUUCAUCAUAAAAUAAGAACCUGAGAUCCAUGCUAUACAUAUGAAAAGUAUUUGUGGGAAUAACUACUGAAUUCCCCUCCAUUUUGAAGUGCUAAUAUUAAUGGGUUGAAAUAUUUUAUCACCUGGGCAUUUAGAAAGCCAUGGCCCUUCUCUGUGAGUAUCUUUAAUCUUGACUCUUUGACUUUGGAGACACGUUGUGUUGUUAAAAUAGAACCUCUUCUUUGUUUAUGGAAAGGUCUUCCCAGACAGUAAAAGGAAUAAGGCCCAAGAGCACAUCGCAAGGUCCAAACUGAGGAGUCUGGUAAAAAUCAUUACGUUGACUGUCCUUAGAGAAAAAUCAUUAUGACUUUUAGGAAGCUGCAGCACCAGCAUGGUUUGUAAGAAGUCACAUCAUUCUGGGGGGACUAGAGAAAGUCUGCCAGGAGAGUAAUUUUAUCCUUUCCAUUGUCCCAUUAAGUGCUGAGAGCUCUUAUUUGAAUAUAGGGUUAUCUUUUCCCUUUAGUUUGUUGAGAAGAUGCUGUCAGACCACCAAAGUAACAAUUACAGGGAUGGUCUAAGGGUGUUUUUACACUCCUAUCAGAGCAGAAAGCUCAGCAAAAGCAGCUUCAGGGGUACUUCUUGAGGAGAAGCAAGACCAGGCCUGGCUGAGAGCCUUCUUGCAAAGUAAAGGAAAUGGAGGUCCUGCAGCAGGGAUCUGCUAUACCACAAUUACUCCCUCAGCUAUCACCUUCCUUUGCAGGGAGGUGCUAUGGAAAGAAGUCCCAUUGGCGCCAGAGUUUUCUUGCGUUCAGCCAUGGGCUGGGUUACAGCAAAUGCUUUCCUCUCGCUUCCUUCUGGGAUCCUAUGCCAGGGCAUGAGGUACAUUGCCAUCUGAGGAUCCCCUGUAGGAAAGGUUCUUGUUUCAAGGGGGGUUAUGCCUGAGCCAUAAUGGUGUUUUAACUGACUUUUGUUGUUCAGUAAAAUCUCCCCCCUCCAAUAAUCUGCAAAUCUGUUACCAAUCAGAAUAUGAUACGUAUCCUCAGCCAGUUUCAGUGGAGCUUAUUUCUAUUACAUCUGGCAGUGUGUCCAGUGGUGGAGAAAAAAACCUCAACCAGAAUUAGCUGCACUGAAAUCAGCUAAAUCUUGGAUGUGUUCAACCUUUUUGGCCUGACUCAUUCCGGUUCAUGAGAAGUAAUUAUCUCUUGAGCAUCACAUUAAAGAUCCAUAGGCAUUAGAGUUUAGGCAAUAUACCUUCUUCCCAGCUCAAAAAAAAUAUGUGGGAUAAUUGAUCUGAAUGUGCUCCAAAUGUGCAUAUGUCUUUAUUUAUGAAUUCCAAUGUGGAUUGUUUGGGAGGAUAAGGCGGAAUAAGGAAAAGCAGGCAAAAACGUUGGGAUGUCUCAUCUCCCUGGCCAUUUCUGUUAGGAAUAGUUAUAAUCCUCUGAAAAUGGGUUGUGAAAACCAACAGCACGUUAAUAGCACAUGUUACAAACACUAAAUCCCUUCAACUGGUAUUUCUGAUUUACACCUUUCCCUCUUUCUUAGAUCAGGGAAGCUGCGGCUGUCUGUGGCCAGGCCACUUGCUGGAGAGCCAGGUUUGGGCACUAAUAGUUCCACUUUCUAAGGUCAGUGUGAAAUGGCACCCCAGCUUCUGCCUGCUGGAGGAAGAACUGCCCUUGGAGCAUCAAAAACACUGUCUCCUGCAGGGCAUUCAUAAACUGGGAUGCUGAGAUGACCUGUCCCGGAUGUGAAGGUGAGGAUGGUUGUCCUGAGUCCCAGGACACGGUGGUUGUGCACGUAGGAAACCACAGCCUCAAGUGCUUGGGUACUGCUUGCAGACAGUGUGGUAGGACGCUGCAAAGGUGGCAACGCUGCUGGCUGAGGGCUGGGCUCAAGCCAUCAAGCACCCCUGCACUGACACACUCCCAUACCUUCCAUCAUCACUGUGACAGUUGAAUCUGUGCUCUGGUAUCUUAUGGGUACGUAGAUGGUAUUCCAUUGCUCAUCCUUCCACCAGCAGAAAAUUCCAUUACUCCACACUAGCAAUGUCACUGCAUUAAAUAAAGGGCAGCUUUUUCCUUACUGAAUGUUUUAUUGUGUUCAGCUUCACCCAGUAGGGGAAAACAAGUCUAUAAAAGUGCCGCUAGCUUGUUUCAACUCCUGCACGUGCACCCACCUCAUUUUCAUGCCCUGCCGAGGGGUGUCAGGCACAGCCCGGCUGCCCUAGCAGUCCUGAACUGGCCCAAUUUCCUGCAGAGUGCAGCGAGGGCCGUAGAUAUCAACUUCAAAGGUAAACAAUUACCUUUUAUUAUCACACAUGGCUUUAGCUCUACCAGUUUCAAAUAGCACGUAAUCACAAGUCUGUGAUAACAUUUACUCCUGAUGAGAGAAAAUUCACCAAGUACUAAAUUGCUGCUGAGAUGACGGGAACAUGAGCCAGGCAGGAAUUAACUCCAAUGAUGAGUCAGCAGACGUUAAUGUCUUGCACCAUGCUGGAGACAUCUGCUGAGCCGUCCACUGUUGAAUCAUCUUCAAUAUUUCUGUGUUAUUACCCCUCUAGGAACAAGCACCGGAGAACUUUUGUGUCCCUGUGUUAUAAAUGCAUAAGCUAUUUUAAAAUAAAUAUAUGCAGGCACAUAACAAGUGUAUGCAUUUAGGUAUGUAGGUAAUUUUCAGCGACGGGAAGGAUGAGCAACCAGCAACUAUUUAAAGUAAAACAUGCAUGAAAAUGCUAAUAGCAAUUGCCUACAUUUGGUGUUUUGAAAGUGAUAGCUUUGCUCAGUCGUGGCUCUGAUAAGCCUGGAUGGUGCCCUCAUGCCCAUGCCAUAUGCCCUGAACCUUCACACAGACCAGCCUGGCCAAGGUCUCAAUGUAAGAGCUACAAGUUCACUAAGAGCUCCCUGUGUUUUGGAAAUAAAUCCCUCUGGAGCAGCUGCAGGGUGCUGUAUUCAAGUGUAUCAUCACUUUGGCUUUUCCCACUUUUUUCCCACAUAAACCCAGAAUGUCAAUAUACAUGUGGUUAGAUAAAUGUAGUAACUAGGUGCAAUCAAGAGCAUGACAAGAAUUCACUGAAGAGGCACAAAUGCCUUCUUAUAUGAGAUCCUUUUUCACUGGAGGCUCUGCAACUGUGCCAUCAUACACUGUCCUCCUUCUGCAGUCAUUCUUCGGCUAAGGGCAGUGUUGUAUAAGUGGGGGUGCUGGAGGACUGCACUCUGGGCAAUGUAAUCAUUGCACAAAGGAAGAGGCAGAGCUUUUAUUUGGGACGUUGUUUUUUGUUGCAUUCAGCUUAACUCACUGCUUCAAAACGACUCAGGUUGUUUUCAAGUCCAUUGUUCUGGCCUUAAUGAAUUUAAACUUUUGCAUAACAUCAUUACGCAAUUGUGUGCACAUGAGAACUGCAGCAAUUCAGUGCCAAGCUGCACCUUUUGAAGCCCUGACUCUCUGAGGUCUGGAGGUCAAAAGUUAAUUCUAGUGAGAUGUGAGGUCUGCCUAUGUUUGCCAGAAAGGAGCUUGUUAUUUCAGGCACUCUGCAGUCUGUGUGUCACUGCUCCAACUCAUGGUCUUAAGGUUUACCCACCCUCAGUUCUCAGACACGACUUAAUAAAGCCACCCCAACACACUGAAUGUUUUGGAAAGCAGGGUGAGGGUAGGCAUGGCUGUUCCCAGAGGGGACAUGGGAAUCACAAGCUGGCAGUGGAGCUGGUGCUCACUGUGGGGCAGUGGGACUGGACAGCCUCAUGGUGCCCAUCCUCCCUGUCCUACUCUCCCCCUCACUGCCGCUGAUCCCUGGCUUAGCCUCUGAC